rnacentral:rRNA from 1 species
AUGAACGCUGGCGGCGUGCCUCAUACAUGCAAGUCGAGCGAACAGACGAGGAGCUUGCUCCUCUGACGUUAGCGGCGGACGGGUGAGUAACACGUGGAUAACCUACCUAUAAGACUGGGAUAACUUCGGGAAACCGGAGCUAAUACCGGAUAAUAUAUUGAACCGCAUGGUUCAAUAGUGAAAGACGGUUUUGCUGUCACUUAUAGAUGGAUCCGCGCCGCAUUAGCUAGUUGGUAAGGUAACGGCUUACCAAGGCGACGAUGCGUAGCCGACCUGAGAGGGUGAUCGGCCACACUGGAACUGAGACACGGUCCAGACUCCUACGGGAGGCAGCAGUAGGGAUUCUUCCGCAAUGGGCGAAAGCCUGACGGAGCAACGCCGCGUGAGUGAUGAAGGUCUUCGGAUCGUAAAACUCUGUUAUUAGGGAAGAACAAAUGUGUAAGUAACUAUGCACGUCUUGACGGUACCUAAUCAGAAAGCCACGGCUAACUACGUG